rnacentral:SRP_RNA from 1 species
ACCGGUGCCUGUAGUCCCAGCUACUCGGGAGGCUGAGGUGGGAGGAUCUCGAGUCCAUGAGGUCUGGGCUGUAGUGAGCUAUGCCGAUCGGGUGUCUGCACUAAGUUUGGCAUCAAUAUGGUGACCUCCCGGGAGUGGGGGACCACCAGGUGGCCUAAGGAGGGGUGAACCGGCCCAGGUCGGAAACAGAGCAGGUCAAAACUCCCAUGCUGAUCAGUAGUGGGAUCAUGCCUGUGAAUAGCCACUGCACUCCAGCCUGGGCAAAAUAGCGAGACCCCGUCUCU